AUUGAACGCUGGCGGCAGGCUUAACACAUGCAAGUCGAGCGGGGGGAGGUAGCUUGCUACCGGACCUAGCGGCGGACGGGUGAGUAAUGCUUAGGAAUCUGCCUAUUAGUGGGGGACAACAUCUCGAAAGGGAUGCUAAUACCGCAUACGUCCUACGGGAGAAAGCAGGGGAUCUUCGGACCUUGCGCUAAUAGACGAGCCUAAGUCGGAUUAGCUAGUUGGUGGGGUAAAGGCCUACCAAGGCGACGAUCUGUAGCGGGUCUGAGAGGAUGAUCCGCCACACUGGGACUGAGACACGGCCCAGACUCCUACGGGAGGCAGCAGUGGAGAAUAUUGGACAAUGGGGGGAACCCUGAUCCAGCCAUGCCGCGUGUGUGAAGAAGGCCUUAUGGUUGUAAAGCACUUUAAGCGAGGAGGAGGCUACUGAGACUAAUACUCUUGGAUAGUGGACGUUACUCGCAGAAUAAGCACCGGCUAACUCUGUGCCAGCAGCCGCAGUAA
rnacentral:rRNA from 1 species